GGCAGCUAACCACGGUAGGGUCAGCGACUGGGGUGAAGUCGUAACAAGGUAGCCGUAGGGGAACCUGCGGCUGGAUCACCUCCUUUCUAAGGAAGC
rnacentral:rRNA from 1 species